rfam:Paramesorhizobium deserti strain A-3-E Scaffold5, whole genome shotgun sequence.
AAUCAUUGAGUUCAAUGCUUUGGCUCCUCCCUGAACUCAAUACUGAACAUGGCGCUCUCCUCCCUGCCGUGUUCAAAGAUAUGGCCCGCUGCUCCUCCUCCCGCAGCGGGCCUUUUUA